rnacentral:rRNA from 1 species
GACGAACGCUGGCGGCGUGCCUAAUACAUGCAAGUCGAACGCAUCCUUCGGGGUGAGUGGCGCACGGCUGAGUAACACGUGGGAAUCUGUCGUUUAGUGGGGGAUAACGCAUCGAAAGAUACGCUAAUCCCGCAUACGCUCGGUAACGAGGAAAGGCGCAAGUCGCUAAACGAGGAGCCUGCGGCCCAUCAGGUAGUUGGAGAGGUAAAGGCUCACCAAGCCAAUGACGGGUAGCUGGUCUGUGAGGACAACCAGCCAGACUGGGACUGAGAACGGCCCAGACUCCUACGGGAGGCAGCAGUAAGGAAUUUUCGUCAAUGGGGGAAACCCUGAACGAGCAACGCCGCGUGGAGGAUGAAGGUUUUCGGAUUGUAAACUCCUUUUGUGAGGGACGAUAAUGACGGUACCUCGCGAAUAAGCCCCGGCUAACUCUGUGCCAGCAGCCGCGGUAAUACAGAGGGGGCAAGCGUUGUCCGGAGUUACUGGGCGUAAAGCGCACGUAGGCGGUUGUGCAAGUGGUGUGUGAAACCAAUCAGCUUAACUGAUUGACGCCAUGCCAAACUGCACGACUAGAGUUAUGGAGAGGUUGCUCGAAUUGCCGGUGUAGUGGUGAAAUGCGUAGAGAUCGGCAGGAAGACCAAGGGAGAAAUCAGGCAACUGGCCAUAUACUGACGCUCAGGUGCGAAAGCGUGGGGAGCGAACUGGAUUAGAUACCCAGGUAGUCCACGCCGUAAACGAUGUAUGCUCGGUAUCUGGAGCUGUUAAGGCUUUGGGUACCUCAGGAAACCCGGUAAGCAUACCGCCUGGGAAGUACGAACGCAAGUUUA